AGCGUACACGGUGGAUGCCCUGGCAGUCAGAGGCGAUGAAGGACGUGCUAAUCUGCGAUAAGCGUCGGUAAGGUGAUAUGAACCGUUAUAACCGGCGAUUUCCGAAUGGGGAAACCCAGUGUGUUUCGACACACUAUCAUUAACUGAAUCCAUAGGUUAAUGAGGCGAACCGGGGGAACUGAAACAUCUAAGUACCCCGAGGAAAAGAAAUCAACCGAGAUUCCCCCAGUAGCGGCGAGCGAACGGGGAGCAGCCCAGAGCCUGAAUCAGUGUGUGUGUUAGUGGAAGCGUCUGGAAAGGCGCGCGAUACAGGGUGACAGCCCCGUACACAAAAAUGCACAUGCUGUGAGCUCGAUGAGUAGGGCGGGACACGUGGUAUCCUGUCUGAAUAUGGGGGGACCAUCCUCCAAGGCUAAAUACUCCUGACUGACCGAUAGUGAACCAGUACCGUGAGGGAAAGGCGAAAAGAACCCCGGCGAGGGGAGUGAAAAAGAACCUGAAACCGUGUACGUACAAGCAGUGGGAGCCUCUUUUAUGGGGUGACUGCGUACCUUUUGUAUAAUGGGUCAGCGACUUAUAUUCUGUAGCAAGGUUAACCGAAUAGGGGAGCCGAAGGGAAACCGAGUCUUAACUGGGCGUUAAGUUGCAGGGUAUAGACCCGAAACCCGGUGAUCUAGCCAUGGGCAGGUUGAAGGUUGGGUAACACUAACUGGAGGACCGAACCGACUAAUGUUGAAAAAUUAGCGGAUGACUUGUGGCUGGGGGUGAAAGGCCAAUCAAACCGGGAGAUAGCUGGUUCUCCCCGAAAGCUAUUUAGGUAGCGCCUCGUGAAUUCAUCUCCGGGGGUAGAGCACUGUUUCGGCAAGGGGGUCAUCCCGACUUACCAACCCGAUGCAAACUGCGAAUACCGGAGAAUGUUAUCACGGGAGACACACGGCGGGUGCUAACGUCCGUCGUGAAGAGGGAAACAACCCAGACCGCCAGCUAAGGUCCCAAAGUCAUGGUUAAGUGGGAAACGAUGUGGGAAGGCCCAGACAGCCAGGAUGUUGGCUUAGAAGCAGCCAUCAUUUAAAGAAAGCGUAAUAGCUCACUGGUCGAGUCGGCCUGCGCGGAAGAUGUAACGGGGCUAAACCAUGCACCGAAGCUGCGGCAGCGACACUAUGUGUUGUUGGGUAGGGGAGCGUUCUGUAAGCCUGUGAAGGUGUGCUGUGAGGCAUGCUGGAGGUAUCAGAAGUGCGAAUGCUGACAUAAGUAACGAUAAAGCGGGUGAAAAGCCCGCUCGCCGGAAGACCAAGGGUUCCUGUCCAACGUUAAUCGGGGCAGGGUGAGUCGACCCCUAAGGCGAGGCCGAAAGGCGUAGUCGAUGGGAAACAGGUUAAUAUUCCUGUACUUGGUGUUACUGCGAAGGGGGGACGGAGAAGGCUAUGUUGGCCGGGCGACGGUUGUCCCGGUUUAAGCGUGUAGGCUGGUUUUCCAGGCAAAUCCGGAAAAUCAAGGCUGAGGCGUGAUGACGAGGCACUACGGUGCUGAAGCAACAAAUGCCCUGCUUCCAGGAAAAGCCUCUAAGCAUCAGGUAACAUCAAAUCGUACCCCAAACCGACACAGGUGGUCAGGUAGAGAAUACCAAGGCGCUUGAGAGAACUCGGGUGAAGGAACUAGGCAAAAUGGUGCCGUAACUUCGGGAGAAGGCACGCUGAUAUGUAGGUGAAGUCCCUUGCGGAUGGAGCUGAAAUCAGUCGAAGAUACCAGCUGGCUGCAACUGUUUAUUAAAAACACAGCACUGUGCAAACACGAAAGUGGACGUAUACGGUGUGACGCCUGCCCGGUGCCGGAAGGUUAAUUGAUGGGGUCAGCGCAAGCGAAGCUCUUGAUCGAAGCCCCGGUAAACGGCGGCCGUAACUAUAACGGUCCUAAGGUAGCGAAAUUCCUUGUCGGGUAAGUUCCGACCUGCACGAAUGGCGUAAUGAUGGCCAGGCUGUCUCCACCCGAGACUCAGUGAAAUUGAACUCGCUGUGAAGAUGCAGUGUACCCGCGGCAAGACGGAAAGACCCCGUGAACCUUUACUAUAGCUUGACACUGAACAUUGAGCCUUGAUGUGUAGGAUAGGUGGGAGGCUUAGAAGUGUGGACGCCAGUCUGCAUGGAGCCGACCUUGAAAUACCACCCUUUAAUGUUUGAUGUUCUAACGUUGACCCGUGAUCCGGGUUGCGGACAGUGUCUGGUGGGUAGUUUGACUGGGGCGGUCUCCUCCUAAAGAGUAACGGAGGAGCACGAAGGUUGGCUAAUCCUGGUCGGACAUCAGGAGGUUAGUGCAAUGGCAUAAGCCAGCUUGACUGCGAGCGUGACGGCGCGAGCAGGUGCGAAAGCAGGUCAUAGUGAUCCGGUGGUUCUGAAUGGAAGGGCCAUCGCUCAACGGAUAAAAGGUACUCCGGGGAUAACAGGCUGAUACCGCCCAAGAGUUCAUAUCGACGGCGGUGUUUGGCACCUCGAUGUCGGCUCAUCACAUCCUGGGGCUGAAGUAGGUCCCAAGGGUAUGGCUGUUCGCCAUUUAAAGUGGUACGCGAGCUGGGUUUAGAACGUCGUGAGACAGUUCGGUCCCUAUCUGCCGUGGGCGCUGGAGAACUGAGGGGGGCUGCUCCUAGUACGAGAGGACCGGAGUGGACGCAUCACUGGUGUUCGGGUUGUCAUGCCAAUGGCACUGCCCGGUAGCUAAAUGCGGAAGAGAUAAGUGCUGAAAGCAUCUAAGCACGAAACUUGCCCCGAGAUGAGUUCUCCCUGACUCCUUGA
rnacentral:rRNA from 1 species